GGCUAUGCAUGUGCACCAGAUAACUUAACAGGAUAUGUCCGAGUGUCCCAAAGACCUCGGAUAAACCACUUACAACUAGGACCAUGAUUAAGUAAACACAAAUCACACACCAACAAUUUGCAGCGAAAAUCUUAUUACCAAAUUUUAUAAGUUACAUCAAGUUUACAUUGUACAUGAUCGGAGUGAUUACAAAAGUGAUUCAAAGAAAUAACUUUGACAUGUUAUAAAUUAUUUAUAGUUUUGAAAUAUAUGCUAGCUCAAGUGACCAUCCUUAGUAAGAAGUAUAGAAGAAGUACUUAGACUUAUAAGAAGGUCGUGCCCACCAACGCUUAACACCAAUCACAAUCAAAGUGACUUGUAACCUGCAGGAACAAUGGGAAUAAAACCCUAAGUACGCAAGUACUCAGCAAGACUUACACGACUAAAUAAAGGACUCUCAAGGGUAUGUUGGUUAAAUAGGAAUCAAGGAAAAGGCUUUAGCAAGAAUCAACUUAGAUAUUUUUGCUGAAAUAGCUUACUAAAGUGAGUCCUUACCUUCAAUAUUUUAACGCCAGAUUAAAUAUUAAUAGACUCUGGUUGCAUCUAGUCUAAUUUCACCAUCUCAUCAGUACAACAUCAUUUUUAUUCAUAAUGUUUACAUCCUGACUUAGGUUGCAGGUCAGAGAUCAAGUCUCCACUCUCCAGGGAUGUAACGGCGAUCCGAAUCGAUUUACUCAGCUGAGGAUCUCUAACUACACAACAUAUGUUUCUCGUAACUCUUGCAUAUGCCUACCAUUCCCACAAAUCCUCCACUGCAUGAACAGGUCCGCACCACCCGAGAGCACACCACCCCUUUUAGGCGGUCCUUUGCCAAGAGGGUACAUGCCACUCUCGCCAUCUCUCCACUCCUAGUGCGCGAUUGUCUUUUCAUGUAUGGAAUAGCCGGGUUCAAGCUUACCCUGUCCCAUGUAACACCCUGAUUUUGGGGGUAUGAAAUUUCUGUCUAAUUAUCACCCAAAAUCAUGUGUUACUCUUCUUUUUCUCACUCUAGGUUUUCUCUCUCUAGAUUCAUUCUCCCUUUUUCCUUUUUGAUUAGAAAUAGCCUAAACUAGUGGAGGUUAAUUAUUUAUCUUUGCCAAAACAUUAUGAGUCAUGACAUGUUUCAUCAUGUUGAGUUUAAAAUAUUCUUUGAAGUGUUGCACAAGUUUGAAUUUAUUUGAAUUUGAAACCUAGUUUAAAUUUGGAUUUGAAAAACCUAGAGAGAAGAAAUGGAAAAGGAAUUAGAAAAUUCAGAGAAAAAGAAAAGGAGAAAGCAACCCAAACCAGCCCAGUCGGCCUAGCCAGGCCGCGCGCCCACGCGCCCGCGCCAUCUGAUAGGCGGACCUCGCCUGUCAGCGGCAAUUCUCCCUCGCGCGCGUAGUGGGCCACGGGUCGGCACCGGAUCCCCGCCUGGGUCCUGAUUAAGGCUCGGGUAUAUUCUGUCCGGAUCCCAUUCUAGAGGUCCAGUUCGCACACGUGGAGGUCCUGGACCCCCAUGGGAAGGUGCCGGACCGCCUAGUGGGGCCAACCUGUCAGCGCCAGUUUCCUUCGCCCGCGCGCUCUCUCUCUGUCUCGUGGGCCCGGUUCGCCAGUCGCCGAGCCGUUGCCCUGCACGCCCCUUUCUCCUCUCUCUGCGCCGUGGACCCUGCCUGUCAGUUCCGCCCCCUCCGCGCUCGCCGUGGACCGGCGUGUGUGCACUCGCGCACGUCGCCGGAUUUCUCGGCCAUGACGCCUGCCCACGCGCCCAGCUCCCUUCUUAGAGCCCUGCCAAUGCCCCGUACUCGCCCCCUGCCUCAUUUCGUGCAGCUCUGCCCUCUCUCGUGCUCUACCCUCGCUGCCAGCCGCCGCCGGAGACCCGCGCCCGCGUUCCCGACCAUCCAGCUCGCUGGAGACCGCGCCAAGCCUCCCCGAGCUCCGCCUCGAGGUGAGACACUCGUCUCCGUGCCCAAUUUCCCUUAUUGCGCUCUGUGCUCGGCCAAUUUCGCCUUCGCCGGUGCUCGGCCGCGGCGGUCCGCCGUGCUCGCGCGGUGGCCGGCCGAUUUAGCCCGGUCUAGUUCCCCGAAGUAGGUCCCUGUGUCACCCCUGCCUCUGCUGAAGCUAGCCUAGGCCUUAGCGCGCCUUAAAACCCCUCCCCGUGGCCGGAAUGGCUCACCGGAGUUACUCCGGCACGCCCGAGACCUUUUCACCGCCAUUCUCCCUUCUCUGCAUGUGGAUUCAUGGCCUCUUCCCCGCCAUUGAGUUCACCGUGGUGCCCUCUCCCUCCCUGCCCAACUCUGGCGACCCCAGAGCCACCCUAGCUCGCGCCAGCCUCAACUUCGGUGACCUCACCGUCGCGGAGAGGAGCGACGCCGCCCGCAGCCGUCUGUUUUCCCCUGGUCUGAUCCCCUCCGUCCGAUUCAGAUCAAACGGCUCGGACCACGGAUAACGCUUCGCGCACGCGUGCCCUGAUGCCUUGGCCCGCCUGUCAGCGCCCAAGUCCUCUGGCGCUGGGCCCGCUCGGUCAGUGCGCCCUCCCCCUCUGCCACUGACGCCCCUGGCCCGCUUGUCAGUGCUCGCCCGCCCACGCGUGCGCCCUCGGCCGCAGAUCUAAUCUCAGCCGUUGGUUUUAGAUCUGACGGUUAGAUUCACCCGAUACCCCUUCGCGUGGCUGUUUUAUUAAAGAGACCCUCGGUUUAUUGGAAAUCAACCCGCCGUCCCUAGUUUUCGCGCGCAGGCCCCUGUAAUCUUGCAGAUUGAACCUUGUACUUUUAAAUAUUCACAGAAUUAGCCCUAAUUUCAUAUUUUGAAUUCCCAACCUUGUUUAUUUCAUAACUUUUGCAUAUGAAUUCCAAAUUUAGUGAUUCAAAUUGUAAAAUGUUCAUAGAAUUAUUCUCUGUCCGAAUAAAAUGGUUUCAUUUACUGUCUGCACACUCUAUUUUUAGGAUUGAAUAUGAACUAGUGUAGAUGUAUUUUUAUUUAUUUGAUAAAAUAAAUAAAAGGAGAACCUUAAAGAUUUAAACAUGUGUAAGCUUGCGAGACUAAUAAUGUGUAUUACAUGAAAUCAUCUCUGGUCUAGAUUUAGGUCACAAUAAAAUAAGUUGAACUAUGUUUAUGUACUUGUAAGUAACACUUAGGGGAACAGUAACCUAUUUUCAAAUAAAGUUGAUAUAUGUUAUAGUUUAUGUUAUACUUUGAAUUCAUUAUCCCUUAUGUAGUACUGUGUCUUUUUAAGAGGUGUUCCAAUGUUUGUACAUGUUUGGCGUGAUGUUUAUUUGUACUUUCCAAAUGUAUUGAAUGCAUGCUCGCUUUAUUUAGACAACAAGCAGUCCGAGGUUCCUGAGUGUGUAGUUGGAGACCUCCCAGAGCAGCAACUUGGUGAAGGCAAGUGUCCUCUAACCCAUUAUGUCCUAUCUACUUAUAAUUCAUUGUACCGCAUUACUUAAUUCAAACCUAAGGAUCGACUAGCUUUCUAUUUACUUAUCCUUGUUUACCUUUUGGGUUAUCAUGGUUAGCUUUAUGCUAUUGCUUUACUUUAAUCAAUGAACAUGAUGUGAAUAUUAUGAUACGAUGAUGUUAUCCCGAUGAUGUUCUUGUGAUACUUUAGGGGACUCAGACUAUUUCCUGAGUACCUCUCCAUAAGGACCUGUUCAGGGAGUGACAACCCGGGAUAACAGUGCAACCAUGAGGGUGGAAUGGGACGCGCUUAGCUGAUUAAUUAGAGGAACCAGAGGAGUAGUUGGCUUCACUGUAGGGCCGUCAAUGGGGUCCGGGCACAGUACUUGCUCUGCCGAGGCUGGUUGCAGAGGUUCUUUGAUUUGGUUUUGUUAGUCACCCUUCCUUUGGGGAGAUGUAUUGUGUUUAUCAAACUGUAGAAACCUAACGGGCAGCUAUGACCUCUGGGAAAUCUUUGUAAAGGCUACGUAGUGAGACCCUGCUAGGUCACCUUGGUAGUGAUCAAUGGAGAGUCAUGAUCUCCAGUAGAAUGGGAAUCACGGCUUGUGGGUAAAGUGUGCGACCUCUGUAGAGGGUUAGAAACUGAUAUAUCAGCCGUGCUCACGGUUAUGAGCGGCCUUGGGAUCCUCUUUGAUUAGAGAUACAAAUGAUCUGAGAUACAAUGGUUCUAUUUAUUAUUUUGGUUCAAUGAUGAUAAUGAUGUUCCUCGAUGAGGAAAUGAUUCACGGGUUGGUUAUAUGAUAAAACUUGGCUUCCACUAAUAAUAAAUAUCUGAUCAACUAAAAGCAACUGCUUUGACCCUAACCCCAUAUAAAGCUAGUCCACUUCAGCCAAACGGGACAUUUGCUGAGUACGUUGAUGUGUACUCACCCUUGCUUUCACAAAACAUCAGGUUGCCUAUGGUGCAAUUUAUGCUCAGGUAAAGAAGAAGGCGUCGAGGCGGAUCUCCAGAAGUUACAGGACUUCGACGAGUUCAAUGAUUAGGCUAGCGACCUCCCCUAGUCAGCUGCCUAUGGUGGGUUUGUUUACGUUGACUACGUGUUUGAUUCUGUGUACUUUGAUUUAUAUUAUGUAAAUGACUCUAGUCUUUCAUAUUAUUACUUACUCUUUGUUGUUAUUCGAAGCAUUGUGCUAUAAUGAGUCAUUUAUGUAAUCGCCGUGUACGUGAAUUUCUGAUCCUGGCACGUACAUGGUUCGCAUUCGGUUUACCUUCCAAAACCGGGUGUGACAUCCCAUAUCUAGGGCAUGUAGCCAGUUAAGAUAGUCCUUGAUCAUAUAGGCCUAUAUACGCAUCCAAUCUUUAAUUAACCUGAGUGGAGCAUCACCUGUUCCUAGCCCAAGUCUCGAGUUAAGUACUUCUAUCUUUAGGAUUGUUUUGUGUUCCUAAGGAUGAAAAGAGCAUUAUAGGGAACUUUGCAGUAAGAUCCCAUCAUGCUCCCAAUGAAAAUAUUCUUGCAGGUAGAAGCCAUCGUUCCUCAGGAUAACCCCUGAGCUAGACAUUAUUGCAAAAGACAACCUCUAUCCACAAGAUCUAAGCAGGGCUAAGCAUUUUUAAACAAUAUUUGAUACUUCCAAAGAAGUAUCUAUAACAGAAAUGGAUAUCAAGGUAGUCAAUGCAUCAAAUAGUUUCCAAGCAAUUCCUAUAAACUUAAUGCACAUUUCACUAGACUUAAGUGUAUAAAAAUCUGUUUAAAAAAAUAUAAGGAAGGGGGUAAAUGCACCGGGGCUUGCCUGGAAUAAACACUACGUUAGUGUUUGUUAGACGAUGACCACUUGGCGACCAUCCUUUGUCUUGGCAUUCGUCAGAUUAUCCAUCUUCAGGUUCGUCCGACUGACGACAUCGUCUUGCGGAGAUGUCCACUCUCUCAUUAUUCUGGGGUCGACUUGGGUCGUCUUCCGCAUCACGUGAUUAAUUAUCGUAUCUAAAUGAAAUGUAUAAUGCACAUGUAUGAAUAUAAGAAGAACUAGCACAAUACUAGACGAUACGAUUAAAUCAACAUGUAUCGCCUUCGCUAAAAAUACGAGAAUCAUCGUAACCUACAUACCUAUCGAUCCAUUCAUUAAAACAAAAUUAUAAAAAUAGAGAAUUAGCUCACCAUAAUCAACUCGGCUCGAUCAUCGCACGAACGAUGAAGACGACCGGUAUCGGCGAGCGCGAGAGCAGUGCCCAGGCCAGAGAUAUGUAGCCCGACGACCUGGUAGUAGCUUCAACGGGAGAGUAGGAGGAAGAACUCACCGCCACAUGCAAGCAAAUCGACGUCAGGGAGCUAGGACGCGGG
rnacentral:lncRNA from 1 species